UACGUAGGGUGCAAGCGUUAAUCGGAAUUACUGGGCGUAAAGCGUGCGCAGGCGGCUUUGCAAGACAGAUGUGAAAUCCCCGGACUCAACCUGGGAACUGCAUUUGUGACUGCAAGGCUGGAGUACGGUAGAGGGGGAUGGAAUUCCGCGUGUAGCAGUGAAAUGCGUAGAUAUGCGGAGGAACACCGAUGGCGAAGGCAAUCCCCUGGACCUGUACUGACGCUCAUGCACGAAAGCGUGGGGAGCAAACAGG
rnacentral:rRNA from 1 species